rnacentral:rRNA from 1 species
CGCGUCUGAUUAGGUAGUUGGUGGGGUAACGGCCUACCAAGCCAACGAUCAGUAGCCGACCUGAGAGGGUGACCGGCCACAUUGGGACUGAGACACGGCCCAAACUCCUACGGGAGGCAGCAGUGGGGAAUAUUGCACAAUGGGGGAAACCCUGAUGCAGCGACGCCGCGUGAGCGAAGAAGUAUUUCGGUAUGUAAAGCUCUAUCAGCAGGGAAGAAAAUGACGGUACCUGACUAAGAAGCACCGGCUAAAUACGUGCCAGCAGCCGCGGUAAUACGUAUGGUGCAAGCGUUAUCCGGAUUUACUGGGUGUAAAGGGAGCGUAGACGGCUGUGUAAGUCUGAAGUGAAAGCCCGGGGCUCAACCCCGGGACUGCUUUGGAAACUAUGCAGCUAGAGUGUCGGAGAGGUAAGUGGAAUUCCCAGUGUAGCGGUGAAAUGCGUAGAUAUUGGGAGGAACACCAGUGGCGAAGGCGGCUUUCUGGCCGCUGNCUGNCGUUGAGGCUCGAAAGCGUGGGGUGCAAAAAGGAUUAGAUACCCUGGUAGUCCACGCCGUAAACGAUGACUACUAGGUGUCGGGGAGCAAAGCUCUUCGGUGCCGCAGCAAACGCAAUAAGUAGUCCACCCGGGGAGUACGUUCGCAAGAAUGAAACUCAAAGAAAUUGACGGGGACCCGCACAAGCGGUGGAGCAUGUGGUUUAAUUCGAAGCAACGCGAAGAACCUUACCUGCUCUUGACAUCCCGGUGACCGGCAUGUAAUGAUGCCUUUUCUUCGGAACACCGGUGACAGGUGGUGCAUGGUUGUCGUCAGCUCGUGUCGUGAGAUGUUGGGUUAAGUCCCGCAACGAGCGCAACCCUUAUCUUCAGUAGCCAGCAUUUUGGAUGGGCACUCUGGAGAGACUGCCUGGGAUAACCUGGAGGAAGGUGGGGAGGACGUCAAAUCAUCAUGCCCCUUAUGAGCAGGGCUACACACGUGCUACAAUGGCGUAAACAAAGGGAAGCGAGCCUGCGAGGGUAAGCAAAUCUCAAAAAUAACGUCUCAGUUCGGAUUGUAGUCUGCAACUCGACUACAUGAAGCUGGAAUCGCUAGUAAUCGCGAAUCAGCAUGUCGCGGUGAAUAAAUUCCCGGGUCUUGCACA